rnacentral:lncRNA from 1 species
GUAAAGGCAACAGUAGUAUACCGCUGUUCAAACUCAUAAAUCCAUGGACAAAAAACAAAAUCGGGGUAACAAACUAAAACUGAGGGAAACGCAUAAAUAUAAGAGGAGAACAACGACACAACACUACAAUGUAACUAACACACACAGAAACGGACCAAGCAUCAGACAAAACCCCACGAGAAUAACAAAUAUAACAUCAAAACCAAAUACAUAAAUUUGGGACAGACAAGUACCGUGACACGUCUUAUCGCAAUGUCAAUUUACACUCAAAAAUAAGAGAAAACAAACGACGCAACGUUAAAUUGUAACACACACAGAAACGAACUAUAAUAUAACAAUGGCCAUAUUCCUGACUUGGUACAGGACAUUUUAAAGGAAAAAAAUGGUGGGUUGAACCUGGUUUUGUGGCAUGCCAAACCUCACACGUUAAUGGCAAUGUUAAAUAUAACAUAGAAAUGACAACAUAAUAUUACAGGACUAUAAUACAAAUGAAUAGGAAAACGUAUUAGACAAAGAAACACAUGAUUAAUGAAUAACAAAAAGC